GUUUGCGGCUGUCACCGCGGCCUUUUCCUGUCACAGAGCUUGGCUUAGAAUGGCCUGGCUUGGAACGGAACUUAAAGAUCAUCCCGCUCCACCCCCUGCCAUGGGCAGGGUCGAGUACCACUAGAUAGGUUGCUCCAGGCCACGUCCAUCCUGGACAUGAACACUUCCAGGGAUAGGGCAGCCACAGUUUUCCUGGACAACCUGUGCCAGGGCCUCACAGGGAAGGAUUUCUUUCCAAUAUCCCCUCUAACCCUGCCUUCUGUCAGUGUGAAGCCAUUUCCCCUUGUCCUGUCACUCCAGGCCCCUAUAUAAGUAGUCUCCCAUCUUUCUUGCAGUCUCCCUUCAGACACUGGGCCACCCUGAAGCUCUUCUUUUCCAGGCUGAAAAUAUCCUAAUUCUCCUAGCUUCUCACAGCAGAAGUGCUCCCUCCCUCUAAUAACCUUGGUGGCCUCUUCUGGACUUGCUCCAACAGGUCCAUGUCCUUUCAGUGCUGAGGACCUCAGGGCUGGAUGCAGCAUUCCAGGUGGGAUCUCACCUGAGCAGGGCAGAGGGGAGGAAUCUGCCCCUCCCCUGCUCCCCAUUAUGUGGGGAUGAGCCCAAGGCACAGAUGGAUUCUUCCAAUACAAAGUUGUAGGUUGGGCUUCAUCACUGACAAGCCUUUUACAGCCCUUCCCUGGAGACUGAUUUUCCAGGAGAGAUGACUUUUUGCACCUCACUCCCAUCCCUGCUUGAAGAUCUCAACAGGUGAUCUCUCCAGGUGGUCUGGGAAGACAGUCCUGCUAUCAUUGCUGCAUCCAAGAGGGAUAAGGGGGAAAGAGCUGGCACCAGCAUGUCCUAAUUGCACAUUGGGAAAGCUGGAAUGCUCCGUGUUUACCGAGCUGUGCUGAAAAGCUGAGAACUUCAGCCUGGGACCGAAGCACUUUGCCAGCCCGAGGGCCCUUCCAGAGGAAUUCUUGAGGCUCUGCAACGCGCUGGGUAAAUGGAGAUGACAGAGGCGAGGCCACAGCAGUGCCUCCCCCUUACCUUACGUAAGGCUGCAGCUCCCUGCCAGCCCCUCGGGCCGGCGGCAGAGGAGAGCCCUUCAUGUGACCCUCAGCCAUCCCCACCAGCCCAAUAUUAAUGUGAGACAUAAAGCCUGCACGUUACAUAAGCCUCUCUCCUGGCCGAGUAUCUCCUACUGCAGCAACCGACGUUUAAUUUUAACUUGCCACUAAAAAAUAAAACACUCCGUGGGUAAGAGGAAGUGUAUGGGUGGAAACGGGGAACGGAGGUUAUUCGUGUCCCGACAGCAAUGUGCCAGAAAGAUCAGUGAUGUAUUUCUGUUUGAUUUACGUGGCCAGCUUAGUCUGACAGCAUCUGUGGCAGAGUGCUCCCAGACCCAUUCAACGCUUUGGCUAGAACAGCCACAAGGAGAAUUGCAAACGUCGUGAAAUGCUUUUUAAUUACACCAUUGCUGCCCAGUAAAAGACUGCAUUUUAAAGGUGUCCUAAAAACAGUAGUGUAAUUUUAAUUUACUUAGAAAUGCACUGACCUGGCAUUUUGACUUAGUGUGAAGGACAGAGAGUGGAAAAUGCAGUUUCAGCAUUUAAAAACGUGAGGGAAGCAGAUGACUGUCAGUGUGGCCACCUAAGGCCAUAGAGCUGAAACCCCUGACGUGCUGGAUGGAAAGUUAGUGUUGUGUGGGACUGUAGCCUGUUUCGAUGUGCUGAUUUUUCCUGAUCAAUCUGAAAGUCAACAGGUUUUUUUCUGGCCUGCCUGCAGCAGUGUGAGGUUUUUGGGAUGGCCGAAUCCCCUUGGGGCACAAGGAAAUCCCUGGAGCUCAUCCUGCCUGUCCUGCGCUGUUACCAGAAUCUGGCUUCUUACUGACCUAAACAGAGCCAGGUUUCUACAUGAAAAUUAUACUCUGGGAUUGCAAUUUCUACCAUAAAGAGCACUGGGAGGUGA